rnacentral:rRNA from 1 species
AAGGAAUAUUGGUCAAUGGACGCAAGUCUGAACCAGCCAUGCCGCGUGGAGGAUGAAGGUCCUCUGGAUUGUAAACUUCUUUUCUCUGGGACGAAACCCCCGAUUUCUAUCGGGCCUGACGGUACCAGAGGAAUAAGCACCGGCUAACUCCGUGCCAGCAGCCGCGGUAAUACGGAGGGUGCAAGCGUUAUCCGGAUUCACUGGGUUUAAAGGGAGCGUAGGUGGGCAGUUAAGUCAGUGGUGAAAUCUCUGGGCUUAACCCGGAAACUGCCAUUGAUACUAUCUGUCUUGAAUAUUCUGGAGGUAAGCGGAAUAUGUCAUGUAGCGGUGAAAUGCUUAGAUAUGACAUAGAACACCCAUUGCGAAGGCAGCUUACUACGGAAUUAUUGACACUGAGGCUCGAAAGCGUGGGGAUCAAAC